rnacentral:piRNA from 1 species
AUGAUGCUCUGGAUGUUGCCAAC